rnacentral:rRNA from 1 species
GGAAAGUUGAAAAGCACUCUGAAGAGAGAGUUAAAAGAACGUGAAAACGAUUAAGUGGAAGCAAACAGGUCUAUUUGAAGAUAUAUAGUUUUCUAUAUAUCUGCUAAUACAUAUGUAGAGCUAUUAUUAUUCUAUUUUAAGAGGACUCUAUAUGAGAACCCUUAUGAUGGUUGAACGUUGUCUCUGUAUAUGAAUAUUAGCAUUUAUGAUGGUUACCUGUUUGACC